GUCAUCCCCAUGUGGAGACAUGUUUGGAAACCACAGAUCUGGACAAGGCCGUUGGCAACACGUCUGUGGCUCGUUCUCCCCUGCCCUGCCCUGCGGUUGGUGGCAUGUUUUUGGCUUUUUAGCAUCUUCCUUAUCUCCAUCCACAGAGAACUCCGAAGUUGGAAGCCUAAGCAGGAACACUGGACCAGACAUGACUGAAAGACACCAAAGACUUUUCAAACAGUUUGUGAACUCUGUUUAAUGAGAUACAAGUCUCUUUUAUGCUGUAAGCUUUAGACUUCCCUUGCUUUGGGACUUGGUUGGGUUAGUGACUGUGAAACAGGAAGUUCUAUGAGCACGGAGUGAGGACUGUCCACUUGUCAUGUUUAAAGAAUCACAAUCUGAUGCAAACAAAAGAGUAGGUAUUGAAAGCCUUACAUUUCUGUGUAUAGACAAUACAUUACUUAUUUAUAGAAAUAACUACUUAGCUGUCCAGAAACUGAGGGGAAGGGGGUUUAAUUAUAGCAACAAUGUUUACU
rnacentral:lncRNA from 1 species